rnacentral:rRNA from 14 species
CUGAAGUGAAGUAAGAAGACCCGCUGAAUUUAAGCAUAUAACUAAGCGGAGGAAAAGAAACUAACAAGGAUUCCCUCAGUAACGGCGAGUGAAGCGGGAAGAGCUCAAGUUGAAAAGCCGCGCAGUUUUCUACGCGGCGUUGUAAGCUGAUGAGCGUGGGUCAGUGGUUGGACUCGGGAACAAGUUGUUUGGAACAGCGUGUCAGAGAGGGUGAGAACCCCGUCCACGUCCCGAAGUCCCCACGUACGACUGCGUUUCGAAGAGUCGUGUUGUUUGGGAUUGCAGCACUAAGUGGGAGGUAAGCUUCUUCUAAAGCUAAAUAUGAGCCGGAGACCGAUAGCGAACAAGUACCGUGAGGGAAAGAUGAAAAGCACUUUGAAAAGAGAGUGAAAGAGUACCUGAAAUUGCUGAAAAGGAACCGUAGGGAGGUAGUGUUGGAGGCAUU